CAGGUAGUGACAGAAGAAAAUGCCACAUAAAAAGUUAACAAUGUGCAUUUUUGUGUUACAAUUAUGAUUGCUUAUUUUUCUUCUUAAUUUCUUAAUUUAUUUCAGAUUGUGUGUUAGUUUUUUAAAUGACAUUUUAUUAUUUAAUUCUAGAAAUUAGAGAUUGUAAAUAAUUUUUUUAGAUUUUAUUGUUUCAAAAAAGUAGACAAGGAGUCAUACAUUUUCUGGGAAAAUAACAAUUUAGAAAAAUGUUGACAAUCUAUCUAAUCCUAGGGGAAUCUUUGCAAGUGAUUGUUGUUUUGAGAGUGGCUCUUUACUGAUAUUCACCUAAAAUAAAAUACUUUGAAACAGUAUCUCCAUCCAAGAAAAAAGCUUACAAAAAUAAACAGUUGAGUUAUCUUGGAAACAAGAAACACUUUUAAAAAGAUAAUUACAUUUUAUAAUAAAUUACUUUAAUAAUCCAAAUGGAAUCAUCCUCCUUAAAAAUGUUUUGUUAGUAGUAAUUAUUAAAAUCAUAAAUCAUUUUGUAAAAUUUGUACUUUUGGUACAAAAUGAGAAAGUAUUUAAAAAUUUAUUUCAAAAAAUUUAGCAAUAGUUUGUUAAAUUCAGAUAGUAUAUUUUUUCAUGCGCGUCCGUGUGAAGAGACCACCAAACAGGCUUUGUGUGAGCAAUAAAGCUGUUUAUUUCACCUGGGUGCAGGUGGGCUGAGUCUGAAAAGAGAGUCAGCAAAGGGUGGUGGAUCAUCAUUAGUUCUUAUAGGUUUUAGGAUAGGUGGUGAAGUUAAGAGCAAUGUUUUGCAGGCAGGGGUGGAUCUCACAAAGUACAUUCUCAAGGGUGGGGAGAAUUACAAAGUACCUUCUUAAGGGUGGGGGAGAUUACAAAGUACAUUGAUCAGUUAGGGUGGGGCAGGAACAAAUCACAGUGGUGGAAUGUCAUCAGUUAAGGCUAUUUUUACUUCUUUUGUGGAUCUUCAGUUACUUCAGACCAUCUGGAUGUAUACAUGCAAGUCACAGGAGAUGCGAUGGCUUGGCUUGGGCUCAGAGGCCUGACAUUCCUGCCUUCUUAUAUUAAUAAGAAAAAUAAAACAAAAUAGUGUUGAAGUGUUGGGGCGGCGAAAAUUUUGGGGGGUGGUAUGGAGAGAGAAUGGGCGAUGUUUCUCAGGGCUGCUUCAAGCGGGAUUAGGGGCGGUGUGGGAACCUAGAGUGGGAGAGAUUAAGCUGAAGGGAGAUCUUGUGGUAAGUGGUGAUAUUGUGGGGACGUUAGAAGAAACAUUUGUCAUAUAGAAUGAUCGGUGAUGGCCUGGAUAUGGUUUUGGAUGAAUUGAGAAACUAAAUGGAAGAUACAAGGUCUGAAAAAAAGAAGGAGAAAAAUGGGUAUUAAAGGACUAAGAAUUGGAAGGACCCAGGACAUCCAAUUAGAGAGUGGCCAAGGGGGUUCAGCAUAAUUACUUGCUUGGUUGGCAAGAUUUUGGGCUUUAUCCUUGAGUUUUUUUAUGUUGUCAUACACCAGGCCAGAUUGAUUUAGGUAAAAAUAAGACUCUUCAUUUAAGAAUAUACAGAGUCCUCCUUUUUCAGCAGUGAGUAAGUCAAGGCCUUGGCGGUUUUGGAGGACAACUGCAGCUGAAGAGUCAACUUGGGCCUGGAGGCCUGAUAAAGUUUGUGAUAUGUCUGUAAUGCUAGCAGAGAAGUCAUUAGACAGGAUACGGAAGGUCGUGACAGAGGUUGAAAUGCCUGCUAUUCCAGUACCGAGAGCAACAGUGGAGGCAGAAAGUCCUAAACCAACCAUCAAGGGAAUUAGUGGAAUAACUCUUUUUUGUCGUGUCGGUGUCAUGAGGGGAACAGGGAGCUCUUCAGUCCCAUUUGCAAAUUGAAUUUUGGAGGUAAGGAAAACUAGUGUGCAUGUGCCUGUCCAAUUAGCAGGUAGACACAUGUAGGUAGAGGAUCCACAGAGGAAGAAGAGACUUUGUACUAGGCAAAACUGGAGAUGUAAAGUAAAAAGGUGAGAAGGAGUGCUGAAAGGGGUGUCUUGUACCCAGACUCUUAGGGAUCCACCUAGGGGGGCAGCAGUCAGAGGUUGUAAUGGGGACUGAUGGGGUAACUGCGUAGAGGGGGAGGUUCGAUUUUCAUGGUAUAUGAGAAAACGUUGAGCAUCUACGAGCAAACUUUCACUGUUAUUUUUGGGGCUGGGUAUAAGUAAACAAGAAGAGGGUCUGGGAGGAGAGUCUGAUGAGCAAGGGGAAAAUAGCCAAGGAUGGAGUGAAAUACAGGACAAGUGUCUUCCUAAGCAAUAAUUACUGCUAACGUUUUUAAGUUUGUCAGUAUUGAUAGAGGGCUUGUCUGUAAUAUGGAGCUGGAAGGCUCCAUUUGUUUCAGUGAUGUGUGUAGUUGGGCUUCGGAGAUGAAGAGUAAAGGAACAUCGAGAAGGUGAAAGAUUACCUAGGGGAAUUCCAGUGGGUCUUUGCCGAGAGAUACAUAAAGGAGCGGCCACAGGAAUAGUAGUUUGUGUUGUGAGCGGUCCAAAUGUGGGGGGAGUAGAGUUAAUAUAAGGAGAAAGGUUUUUUAAAUAAGUGCAGAGGAGGGCGGCAGCUUGCUGAUGUGAAAUGUCUGGGGAAGUCUUGCUGGACCUGUCUAGAAAGUAAAUGAGUUUUUCAGGAGGGUAAAGGUGAGGGCUGUUAAAGGAAGUUCGGAGGUGUGGGGAGACAGGAGAUGUUGCCCAGUCUGUCUGUAAGGCAGGGACAGCUGGGUAGGCACUGGAAGGAAGGGAAAUGCAAAGCCAGCAGUUUUUCACUAAGGAGGGAUUAGAAACGGCUAGGAGAGAAUGGGUAAGGUUGAUAGUGUGGUGGAGAUAGCUGGGGAGAGGUAAAGGGUGGCAUAAGAUUGGGAAUGAGAAUAAGAGUGAGUAUAAAAGUAAAGAAUAGAACUUCAUCAGGGUGGAAGUAUUGGAGGAUGCCCUGCCAGCAAAGAUCAUCUAUCCACUCUAAGAGGGAGUUAAGAGUGGCAGUUUCGGGAUAGCACCAAGAGAUAUCAGCUGUGAUGGCUUGAAGAAACAGUGUAAACUGGUGGUGUAAACAAGAGUAGGGCAUUUAUAAGUAGUUGAUAAUGGAGAAUAGGAGUAUGACCAGACAGAAGAUAGUAGGGAUGACUCGUUUUUGGGGGCACAGUCUAAGUUAGUCUGCUCUCUGGAAUGAGACUGGGGCCUAAUAAAAAGGAGCAUCUAUACAGGAGCUCAAAUGGGCUGUACCCUGUAGCAUUCUGAGGACAGGUCUGACUUCUGAGAAAGGAAAGUGGUAAAAGUAUUGUCUAGUCCUUUUUAAGUUGGUGGCUGAGCUUGGUGAGGUGUGUUUUUAAAAGACCGUUAGUCUGUUCUACUUUUCCUGAAGACUGAGGACUGUAAGGGAUAUAAAGGUUUCACUAAAUAUUAAGAGCCUGAAAAACUGCUUGGCUGAUUUGACUAAUAAAGGCUGGUCAGUUAUCAGACUGUAUAGAGGUGGGAAGGCUAAACUGAGGGAUUAUGUCUGACAGAAGGGAAGAAAUGACUGUGGUGGCCUUCUCAGACCCUGUAGGAAAGGCCUCUACCUAUCCAGUGAAAGUGUCUACCUAGACUAAGAGGUAUUUUAGUUAUCUGACUCGGGGCAUGUUGAGUAAAGCUAAUUUGCCAGUCCUGGGUGGGGGCAAAUUCUUGAGCUUGAUGUGUAGGGAAGGGAGGGGGGCCUGAAUAAUCCUUGAGGAGUAGUAGAAUAGCAGAUGGAACACUGAGAAGUUAUUUCCUUGAGGAUAGAUUUCCACGAUGGAAAGGAAAUGAGAGGUUUUAAGAGGCGGGCUAGUGAUCUGUACUAUAGCAUAGCCUGCCUUUGCUGGUGUGUGGUGAUUAGGCCUGGUGGAACCGCCAUUAAUAAAUCAAGCAUGAUCAGGGUGAGGAACAGGAAAGAAGGAAAUAUGGGGAAAUGAGGUGAAUGUCAGGUGGAUCAGAGAGAUACAGUCAUGAGGGUCAGGUGUGGUUUCCAGAAUAAUGUGGGAGACCGGAUUGAAGUCCCGGUCAGGAACAAUGGUAAUUGUGGGACUUAACAAAGAGUGAGUACAGCUGAAGGAGCCGGGGAGCAGAAAGUAUAUGCAUCAGGUAUGAGGAAGAAAAUAGAUUUUGGAAGUUAUGAGAAAUGUAGAGAGUAAGUUGAGCAUAGUUUGUGAUUUUGAGGGCCUCUAAAAGUAUUAGGGUGGCAGCAGCCGCUGCAGGGAGACAUGAUGGCUAGGCUAAAACAGUAAGGUCAAGUUGUUUGGACAGAAAGGCUAUAGGGUGUGGUCCUGGCUCUUUUGUAAGAAUUCUGACUGCACUAUGCCUAGGAAGGGAAGGAGUUGUUGUUUUGUAAGGGAUUGAGGUUUGGGAGAUUAAUCGGACACAAUCAGCAGGGAAAGCACAUGUGUUUUUAUGAGAAUUGUGCCGAGAUAGGUAACAGAUGAGGAUGAAAUUUGAGCUUGACUGAAGUAAUGGGGGCUGUCUAUGAAGACUUGCGGCAGUACAGCCCAGUUACCCGAAACUCGGCGUCCUUGAUGGUCUACGGGGGUUCCGAGGUGAUCGAGCAGCAUCAGUCUUCAGCCGCUAAACCGAGAAGGAGUCCGUCAGAGAGCCUUGGGCCAGAGUUCCAGAGGCUCUGGGAGUAGCUUCCAGAUCUCUAGAACUUUUUCAUCGAGCAUUAUCAAAACUUGACACCCUCUGAAGAACUGCCGUUUUCCCUAAGCUCCAGGCAGCCAUUCAUCUUUGGAAAGGUCCCUGCUUCCUCUGAGUCUUCUACAGAUACAGCAAGAACCCAUUGGACGAGGUGACCCAUGGCUUUCUCCUAUAACUGGAGUAUCUUCUGGCCAGGCCCAUGGAGGAAUACUCCCUAAUAACCAAAUUCUGAGGCAUUCAUUCAUUAUCUUUAAAGCAGUGCUUCCCAAACUGUAACAUGUGACUUCACAACUCUUCAUAUCAAAAGAUGGAGUUCAUUUCCAACCUCUUUUAAUUCAGACUGGCCUUGGGACUUCUUUUGAGCAACAAAAUAUGGCAGGAAUAAUGUUGUGAUCUCUGAGCUGGAAUGGAGAUGAUUCCCAAAAAACCUUAGAAGGCAUUACUGAAGAUAGAAAAACCUCCCAGAGCCUGAUUUCUGAAUGAUUGUCCAUUUGGCAUAGUCACCAGGUGUGGAUGAAACGAGGCUUCACCCCUGAGUCUGCAACCUUAGACAAGUUUCUCCACAAUGCUACUCUGAGAUCAAGAUCUCAACUGUACAUCCUGGAGACAACACAACAACACAAGGGAAUAAAAUCUUAUACAACUGUCAGAGGUAUUGUGGAGUUCAAAUUAGAUGAUAUACAAUGACACCAAGGAAAAUACAUUGUGAAAUUUGACGAGAUUCUGAACUCAAAAAGAGAUGCUGCUCUAUUCAUUUCAAAACAACUCAUAAUAAAAGUGUUCCGCCGGGCGCGGUCGCUUAUGCCUGUAAUUCCAACACUUUGGGAGGCCGAGGCGGGCGGAUCACGAGGUCAGGAGACCGAGACCAUCCUGGCUAACGCGGUAAAACCCCGUCUCUACUAAAAAAAUACAAAAAAAUUAGUGGGGCGUGGUGGCAGGAGCCUGUAGUCCCAGCUGAGGCUGAGGCAGGAGAAUGGCGUGAACCCGGGAGGCGGAGCUUGCAGUGAGCCGAGAUCGCGCCACUGCACUCCAGCCUGGUCGACAGGGCGAGACUCCGUCUCAAAAAAAAAAAAAAAAAAAAAAAACAGUUUUCCAACUUAGCGUUUCCGGCAUUAACUAAUCACACCUCAAUCUCACUUUUAUUUUUGCUCUUCUUGUUUUUUUCAACUGGCACCUGGAGCAGGUCAGUCACAUUCCUCAUUUUUCAGGGACACCUUCGAUGCCAGAUUCUUUUUGCCUUCCGGUAAGAUUUUUUUUUUAGUAUCUUGGCCAUUUAGGGGGAGGGAGGAUAAGAAAUAAAGGGACAGUAUUAGAGCGUUAAUAAAUUGUUUUUUGUAAAUACGUUUUAGGAUGUUCACAUGUAGUGCUUCUUCAAGAUUUCUAAAAGUAUCUACGUUAUGGCUUCACUCUAUCAUUGUAAGCCUUACUAGGAUUCCUGAAUUUUGACAUAUAUUUAUUUUUUCUUCUGACUCAAGCUUUGAAUGACAAGAAUACUGUCAUGUUUUCUAUAUUUUCCACAAGAUAGAUAGAAUAAAAUACCCAUCAACUCUCUUUACACAUAGACUUUUUAAUAAAUUGUUUAAACUAUUCACAUCUCCAAUGGCUAAUUUGGGAUGAUACAGAAAUGCACAUGUUUUUAAAUAUAUAUCAAGAGCAUAUUAAACAAUUCCACAGCACAGAUGAAUAAUAUUGUUACCAGUGAAAUUCAUGCUGUAUCCUAAAACAAAUAGCCAAUAUUUGACAUAAUAAAGCAAAUAUCCUUUUACCUUUACUAUCAGUUUGGGGGCUGUUAAAUUAUUGGGGAAGUGGCAGGUAAAAUUUUCUUUUUAUCUUUUCUGAAAAUAAAAUAAUUUGGUAAUGUUCCAGGUCAGUAUACAAAGAGUUUUCUAAUUUAUGUAUAAAUUUUUAAAAUAAAGUAUAAUAGAGCAAAAAGCUCACUAGCAUUUAGAACUGUCCUGAUAACAGAAUGACAGGGCCUGGGCUUGAAUUUUGUGUAAAAAGAUUGUAGGUGCCAAAUCAUCUCCAUUUCUCAUAUCAUGAUUAAUUCUCCAGAGAAUUAUAGCAGGUACACAAAUUAGAAGAGCUCUUUGAAUCUUACUUUCAAAUUUGAAAAAGAAAAUGUGUAUUGUUUUGCAACAUAGCUUUUGAAUUAAUGUUUUUAAUUUAUAUUAUUAUUCUGACCUAAUAUUUAGGUAUUAUAUAUUUGAAAUAAAAAGAGAGGCCACCAUCAUAUUAAGCAUGACAUGAAGUACCUGGCAUAUUCUGAGUUAUGUGUACAGGUAAUUAGUUCUAACUCAAGGUAAUGUUCUCAUAAAUAGGGAACAAAUAUUACCAAAUUCAUUAAUUAGUCAUGCUUAUACUUCUGUCAUUUGGAAUAAUGUGUUUGCUUGAACUAAGGUUUCCUAUUUAUUAGAGUCAUUAAUGACUGUCAGUAAGAUACAGUGCUCUAACAUUUCACCAAUAUUUGAGAAACGCACAGGUAUUGCAUUUUUUUAACAGGGGACUAGUCUCAUUUUAUAUCUGUAUGGAAUGACAACCACAGUAUUAAAUUCCCUUGGCCUAUUUCUGCUACUUUCCUUUAUUUCAUUCAUCCUACUGUUUCCUUUAUUUCAUUCAUCCUCUACCAUUUUUAUUCUUAUAACACGUAUAUCAUUGUAUCAUAAUUACUUGUUUGCAUUUCUGCCUUCCUCCACUAAAGCACAUGAAUCAUUCUGCUUCUCAUAAGCAUCCUCAUUUAUUGUUUAAUGAAUUUAAACAUUCACUUAUACACAUAUAUUUCAAUAAAACUUUCAAAUAAACUAUUUUAACUAAAUUAAAAUAUUUUAGCUGUUAAUAUACGUAUGCAAUCAUUCUUCUGUGAAUAUAUGCAACAUACAUUACUUUGCAUUAUAUAUCUAAACACAAACACAAGGACUAUUGUAUUAGUCCUUUUUCAUGCUACUGAUAUAGACAUACCCAAGACUGGGUAAUUUAUAAAGAAAAAGAGGUUUAAAGGAAUCACAGUUCCAUGUGGCUGGGGAGGCCUCACAAUCAUGUUGGAAGGUGAAAGGCACAUCUUACAUGGCAGCAGCCAAGAGAGAAUGAAAGCCAACUGAAAAGGGAACAAGAAUAAAAAUAUAUAUCCAUGCUAAUGGGAGGUUGCUUAUAAGACAAUGUCUGACAUAUAUGAUUUAUUACAAGUUAUUGAUUCCAAUAUUUUUAAAAAUCUACCACAACACAUUAUCAACAAAAUAAAAUCACACAAAAUCCUGUUAAAUAUUUUGUUAUGAUAUUUUAUGCAACUUUUUAAAGCAUAUAUUAUUUCACCUAACUAAAAUGUAUAUGAAUAAUAUUUCUACAUUUUCAUAAUGAACUAAGGCAGCAUUUCCCAAAGAGUGUUUCAGAAAAUACGUCUUUAGAGAUGUUCUUUUUUUUUUUAUUAUACUUUAAGUUUUAGGGUACAUAAAAAUGAAUUAAUGUUAUAUAGAUUAAAAAUAAGCAUAUGAAAAUGUUCUCAACAACAUAAGUCAUCAGGGAAUUGCAAAUUAAAACAACGAGAUACCACUACGUACAUAUUAGAAUGAAUAUAAUAAAAAAAAACUAAAUUCAAAUUGCUGACAAAGAUGCAGAACAAGAAUUCUCACUCAUGCUGGUGAGAAUAUAAAAUGGCACAGCCACUUUGGAAGACCACUUGGCUAUUUCAUACAAAAACAACACUUUUCCUAUACAACGUAGCGAUCAUGCUACUAGAUAUUCAUCCAGCCAAAUUGGGAAUGUAUGACCACAUAAAAACCUAUAUGUUAAUGUUUAUAGUGACUUUAUUCAUAGUCAGCAAAAAUGGGAAACAAUCAAAAUGUCUUUCCAUAGAUGAACAGGUAAACUUGACACAUUCAUAUAAUGGAAUAUUAUUCAGCAAUUUAAAAAAUGAGCUCUCAAGCCAUGAAAAGGCAU
rnacentral:lncRNA from 1 species